rnacentral:lncRNA from 1 species
ACUUAGAACACAGGAUGUCAGCGCCAUCUUGUGACGGCGAAUGUGGGGGCGGCUCCCAACAUGUAACCUUGACUGGACUGGAACUCACUCUGUAGACCAGGCUGGCUUCAAACUCAAAGAUCCACCUGCCCCUGCUGGGUGCUGGGACUAAAGGCCUGCACCACACGCCUGACUGGUGAAUUGUCUUCUAAUUCUAAAUCUGGUACUAAGUGCUCUAAGAAAGCUCAAGAGGCUCACUGGUGUUGUGGUGGCCCAGGGCGUCAGUAGUGCCGUGACCUCCAGCAAGCGUAUGGCCUGGCAGUGGAGACUGACUAACCCUAAGUUUCCCCUCGUUGAUGUGCUCAUAGAUCGCGUCUGCGCCCUGAUCCAAGGCACGCUCGAAGAACAGGGCGCCCACUGCGAUGGUGAGGGCGAAGGUGGAAGUUCUGCGGAACAGCAAGGAGUACAGACGCGAAGGGAUCGUCGGCAACGACAUGUUGCCUCACUGCCGAACUCGCGCCACUGCCAGAUGUAUUUCUUUAUGUUCCGGUGCCACAUGCAUGCCUGGUACCUGAGGAUGACAGAAGAGGACAUCAGGUCCCCUGGAACUUGAGUUGCAAUUGUAAGCCACCUUGUAGGUGCUGGGAAGCAAAGCUGGGUCCCCUGGAAAAGCAUCCAAUGCUCUUAACUGCUGAGCCGUUUCCCAGCCCCCUUUUAAAGGUGUUUUCUUUUGUUUAACUUGC